rnacentral:rRNA from 1 species
AUUGAACGCUGGCGGCAGGCCUAACACAUGCAAGUCGAACGCGUGGCGCACGGGUGUGAUAUGUGUGGGAAACCGUCUGAGGGAGGGGGAUAACCACUGGAAACGGUAGAUAAUCACGCAUACUAUCAGAUGCGCCCAGAUGGGUUUAGCUAGUUGGUGGGGUAACGGCUCACAAAGGGGACGAUCCCUAGAUGGUCUGAGAGGAUGACCAGCCACACUGGGACUGAGACACGGUCCAGACUCCUACGGGAGGCAGCAGUGGGGAAUAUUGCGCAAUGGGCGCAAGCCUGAUGCAGCCAUGCCGCGUGUAUGAAGAAGGCCUUCGGGUUGUAAAGUACUUUCAGCGGGGAGGCGUUACCCGCAGAAGAAGCACCGGCUAACUCCGUGCCAGCAGCCGCGGUAAUUC